AGCCAACAGGCAACUGGGGAUAGUGACU
rnacentral:piRNA from 1 species